GCGUAGCUCAGGAGCAGAGCAUCUGCUUUGCAUGCAGAAGGUCCCAGGUUCGAGUCCCCGCCUGAAACU